GGCACACAACAAACAUUUCUCCUGCGGAGGACAGAAACGGCACAAGAAAGGUCCUUUUUCCCUGCUCCAAGAUGGCCCGCCUGCUGGGCACCUCAUCGGGCCUUGCUAUAGGAGAGGACAGAAUGACGCGGUGGAGCAGAGAGAAUUCAAGACUAGAAUCUUCCUUCUGAAGACCUUUGAGGUCCGGUCCUUCCACCCUCCUCUCUGCAAACCGCUGGGCGUCCUCAAGAAUCCUCACUAGAUCUGGCCCAGGGUUCGGUGGGGUGUCCACGACCACACCCACACCGGCCGCCCCCACCACUCCACGAUGAGACCCAGGCCCCAGGCAGAGCCUUAGGGGCUGACCAAAGUCUCCAGGUAACUGAUUGACCUGUCCAAGGUAUAAAACCCACAGUUGAUUUGGUUUGAUGCCUAUAAAAUGAUGGAAGCAAGAGAACAAAUCCUGUGACACCAGAGACACUUGACUCCAGUGUUUUGACCCUUGCCUGUGUUUUUACCCAAUCCUGGCAGAAAUGGCUAACCGAAAAUAAAACUGAUGGUAGCUGAAAUGGUGUGGCACACUUAUUGGUCAUCAAGAAAUGAAAGAAUGAAACAAAUUUCUUAGUAGAGUUUAGAUCUGCAAAACUCGACCUGGGAAAAUUGGACAGAAAUAGUGGACAUGAAAGAAAUUAUAAGGCGGCCGAAACUAUAAUUGAUGAUAUUUGUUGUGGACAAAAACAGAUUUGAAUUGACCAUCAUAAAAUAUAAAUGAAAAUAAUUGACUCCAACGAAAGUAAUUUUAGUAAAAAGAAAAAAAAGAUUUGGAAACAGUUUAAUUUGACGUAGAAAAUUAUACUGUUGGGGGGAAACAAUUUCAGAAAACGCCUCUUGAAAAGCAUUUUUAAGUAGUAGUAUAAAUUUUGAAUCAAAUGUUAGAAUCUAUAGUGUGAAACUCUCCUUGAAGACAAGAAUACCCCACAGGUUCAAAAUGUCAAAGUCAAAACUUCCCAUAUACUUAGGAACUUGUCGCUUUGAAGUCAUCAUAUUCCAACCGGAUCUCCUUUUCCCUUUGAAAUUAGCUCUACUUCUUAAUUAUCCUUGUCAUUGUUAACACUUCCUUAUCCAGAUUCAAACUUCAGUGUCACCAUGGACACUUGCCUCGUGAGACUUCAUUCUUUAUUUUGAGUCUGUCACUGUGGGCCGUUAUUUCUUUUAAUGCAUCUUUCAGAUUUACCCUUUUCAAUCUCUUCCUAAAAUUAAAGGUAGUCACCUCUCUUCACCUUGUGGCAGAGGCAGCUCCCCGCCUGUGCCCUUGCUGUCAGACAGUUGCACCUGCUCCCACCCUGCCCAGGCCACCUUGCCAGCAGCUGCUCCCAGCAUGUUCUGUGAUCAGGGAUCCCUGGAGGCCUCUCACUACCUGCAGAACCAAGGCCCAGCUCGUCUGCUGAUUUGCAAAGCUGGCACUGCCCAGCUCCUUUGUGCCAUGCAGUUCUAUUUCUCACAUUUCCCCCAAAUGAUCCCUCUUCAAGGCUGAGCUCCCCACUGACCACAAACCAGAACGUCCUGCCUGCUUCCUGCUGUGUUCAAGCUGACUUCUGCCUGAAAUAGCCUCCGCUGUGCCUUUCCAGCCCAAGCUCCACUCACCAACAAAACUACAGUGUUUGUAUUUUAAUAUAGAAAUAAUGCACCACCUUUGAGAAAGUGUGGGUGGUACAAAGUCAUAUUAAAAAUCAAUCUUCUCAUCCCCAAAAUAACUGCUAUUAGUCCUUUAAGUAUAUUUAUUUCCAGCCUUUUUUUUGAGGGGGGGAUAGUGAGGGUUGAACCCAGGACUGCUCUACCACCGAGCUUCAUUCCCAGUCCCUUUUUAAAAUUUUGAGAGAGGGUCUUGCUAAAUUGCCAAGGCUGCCCUCAAACUUGAGAUCCUCCUGCCUCAGCCUCCAGAGUCCCUGGGAUUACAGGUGUGUCUGCUGCACCCAGUUCUAACCCUUGUUUUGUAUAUUUACUUAAUUUUUUCCCCUAAUUGGAAGCAACCUGUAUACUACCUUACUUUUAUCUUGCUUUGUUGUUCUCAUUAUAAGAAUUCUUUCUAAACAUUGUCCUUAAUAGUUCCUAAUUUUUAUUUCAUGGAUAUACCAUAAUUUAUUUGGCUUUUCCUCAAUUGUUGAAAAUUGUGCUUGUUCCCAAAGUUUUGUUGUUAUAAAUGAUCCUGCAAUGAACAUUUAUUAUAUAGAUUUAUGCCACCGUUUCUGAUUAUUCUCACAAGUUAAAUCUGAGAAGCAGAAUUAAAUUGAAAAGUUUUCAUUUAUUUAUUAUUUUGAUGCCUACUCUGUUAUAAACAUUCCAGUUUGUACAAAUUUGCAGUGUAAGAACAUUUCUUUCUUAUUCUCUCCUUGUCAUGCAUUAAAAAAAAUGUUCAUUUGAA